CAUACAGUCACAUUAUUCAUCCUUGAAAGCUAAGCUAGUGGAGUUUAGAAACAAAAUUAAUAGAACUGUAGUCACAGCCCCAUUUAAUCCACAGCAGGGGUGUGUCUUAAUGACAUGCUAACACUAGUAUGAAGUCAUCACAACCCAGAACUCUUAAUGUUCCGGAGGUAGGGGAGAGGUCAGACAUGAGAGUAAGAAGAGGUUAAAAUGGGAGAAGAGAGACACCAGGAGAGAAACCAGCUCAUGAAGAAACUGAAUAAAAUAAAAACUGGGCCUAGAGAAUCAAAGAUGUGUCCUCAGGCCAUGGCAUGGCAGUCUAUGCAGGCACAAUGACCAUGGAGGCACAUGUCACCACACAGGUUUCUGGCAGUCAAUCAGAGGCACCCACGAUAAGCUAAGCCGCCCAACAGCUUCAGAAUGGCUUUCCUGAAUUUCGCAGACAACGGAAAACCAGUCUAGAGAGGAGUAGUUGGCACGGCCUGGCAUCACGAGCAAGAAUCAUGGAAGUGCUUGCUGCUUAGAGAUGUGGCUUGGUCAAUCCCCAAGCCACAGGUAUGGAAAGCGCCUCUCCUGCCACAAAGCCGCAUGUCAAAUCAACAAAACACAAGGCUGAUUUCCUUAGGUCUGUGUCUGCAGGCCAUUGGGAGAGGGAGUCUUGCACAGUGAGAAGGACAAAGACUUGAGAGUCCACGGUGACGGAGGGAAAAGUAACAUUGAAAGAGAUUCCAAAUUGAAGCCCGGAGGUCAUUACCAGGCAGGACUCACACGCAUCUUCUGCUGCCUAGACAGUGAGCUCUGGGCCCCGCAUUGCUGAGCGCUGACAUCCGCAGUGGAGGACACAGAUGGGCCCUUGCUCUGUGGACAUCUGCGGUCUGUUUAGACUUUCUGUAUUUUCUGUCCUUCGUGUAGCCCCUGCGCUUUCUCAGUACCCAGUGACCACACAAAGUUCCUGCUGUCAGUCAUCUUAGGGCCUUUAGCUCAAAGCUAUCUGAGUCUGCAUCCCUCAACAGCAAGACCCAAAUAAACUCCUCUCUCCAGUCUGUAGUUUCUGGAUCUGGACUGAU